rnacentral:rRNA from 1 species
AUGUCUUGUCCAACAAGGGUGAUCGACGCGGACUACCACAGCCUGGUGGGUGUCGUUCUCUUCAACCACUCGGAGGUGGACUUCUCCGUGAAGCCCGGAGACUGCGUCGUGCAGAUGAUCGUCCAGGUGAUUGCGAAUUGCAACGCCGGAGGUCGCCGAGGUGGAGGACCUCGACGUCACCGUCUGGCGGGAGGGAGGGUUUGGGUCCACCGGUGUUUGAACCCAGAGUCUUUGUAG